CUGCAUUGCGGAUACUACCUUAGCCAUUACGUAAUGGAAGGGCCAAGGAGAAGAUUAUGCGCAGGCGCGAUUGCGUGCGUAAGUAGGAUACCCAGUUAGUGUGGGCCAGGGGACACCAGCAGAUGACCAUGAAGUACGCAUACUCCAGUGCCGAGCUUUAGUGCAGCGUACAGCGGGCACACAGUUAGGUAUUACACGAGGGCUUCACGUGGGCUAGUAGAUAUGAAGCAGCGUAAGCAAAUAAAUUGCAACACGCGUUUUGAGCGGGAAAUCAAACUGGUGACGUUGUAGUUGAACAGUAAUUCUCAGUAUUUUGCAAUUUUUAAUUAACUCGCAGAGCAACAAUGCCGACAAAGCUAAAGCUUUGUCAACCGGAGGAAAUUGUUAUAAUUCAAGUUGGCGGAGAAAGGGUUUUCAGUGAAAAUAGGCUGGAAAGAAAGAUGCAGAGCGAUCAAAGAAAACAAGAAGUAAAAGGCGUAAAGCGAGUCGAGAAAAACGCGCAAGAAAGUUAGAAAGGACGCUGAAAUAAGCGGAAUACGGCAGGAGGAACGCGAAAGAGAACAAAGAGAAGGUAUAAGUAAAAAGGCGAGUUUCUAGCAAAGAGCAACGUGAGAAGGAAACACGAAGAGCUCCAGAAAACAGACUGAAAAGAAGUCAUCAACAAAGAGAAGCGGAACACAAAGGAUUCGAGAAAGAAGAGGAGCCCGGCUUGUGACUCUGGAGGUACUGAUAUAUUUGAUACACAAGGCACCCCUCAACGAGGAAGGUGUGAGAACAGAAGUGUUGUAGAUAAAACAGAAGUGUUGCAGAGUUCUCUUUCCAGAUUGAAUUCAG